rnacentral:rRNA from 1 species
UUGUUGGUGGGGUAAUGGCCUACCAAGGCGACGACGGGUAGCCGGCCUGAGAGGGCGACCGGCCACACUGGGACUGAGACACGGCCCAGACUCCUACGGGAGGCAGCAGUGGGGAAUAUUGCACAAUGGGCGGAAGCCUGAUGCAGCGACGCCGCGUGAGGGAUGACGGCCUUCGGGUUGUAAACCUCUUUCGACAGGGACGAAGCGCAAGUGACGGUACCUGUAGAAGAAGCACCGGCCAACUACGUGCCAGCAGCCGCGGUAAUACGUAGGGUGCGAGCGUUGUCCGGAAUUACUGGGCGUAAAGAGCUUGUAGGCGGUUCGUCGCGUCGAUUGUGAAAACUUGCAGCUCAACUGCAAGCUUGCAGUCGAUACGGGCGGACUAGAGUACUUCAGGGGAGACUGGAAUUCCUGGUGUAGCGGUGAAAUGCGCAGAUAUCAGGAGGAACACCGGUGGCGAAGGCGGGUCUCUGGGAAGUAACUGACGCUGAGAAGCGAAAGCGUGGGUAGCGAACAGGAUUAGAUACCCUGGUAGUCCACGCCGUAAAACGGUGGGUACUAGGUGUGGG